rnacentral:piRNA from 1 species
CGCGUCUCAUAGAUCUCUUCUCU